UCCGGCAAUAUUUACAAAAUCAAAAACCUUUAUUGACAUUCUAUUAUAAAUAAAGUAUGUCAAUAAAGGUUCUGAUUUUGUAAUAUUGCCGGUAUUUUAA
rnacentral:sRNA from 1 species